rnacentral:tRNA from 3 species
GCCGGUGUGUUGGAAUUGGCAGACGAGACAGACUCAAACUCUGUUGUCCACUAGGGCGUGUGGGUUCGAGUCCCACCACCGGCACCA